CCCUCCAUUUCCGGCGGCCAAAUCUGAUUUAGGCACAUCCUUGGGCGGAAUAGAAUUAUCAUUAGCUCGAACAUCGGCGAUUCUAGUGUCCGGCACAGGAGAUGCUAAUGUGCAAGGGUUUGGAGAUGGUUUGGAGUUGCAGAGACCCAUCCUUCAGCCUCCCCAAACACACAGAGAAAAUCUGGUAAAUAAAAAUUUUGAUUUCCGAUUCCUGAAAGCUCAGAGCAUUGUACAUUGAAUCGAAUCAAAUUGAAUCGCCGGCUUCGAGUUAAUUUUUCAUUUCCCAAUUUGAAAAAGAA
rnacentral:misc_RNA from 1 species